GGAAGGAUCAUUACAGUGCCCGCGGGACGUCGGUCUCGUCUUCCUAAACGGAGGCGAGCCGCGCCCUGCAACCGGCCCCACACUUGUACACCAAACCUGUUGCCUCGGCGGGACCGCCGUCUAACGGCCGCCGGGAGGGGGAGACCCCUUCUGGCCAGCGCCCGCCGGUGGACCUACAAACAACCUAUGAAUCUAGUGAAGUCUGAGUGUUAAUCACGAAUUAAUCAAAACUUUCAACAAUGGAUCUCUUGGUUCCGGCAUCGAUGAAGAACGCAGCGAAAUGCGAUAAGUAAUGUGAAUUGCAGAAUUCCGUGAAUCAUCGAAUCUUUGAACGCACAUUGCGCCCCCUGGUAUUCCGGGGGGCAUGCCUGUCCGAGCGUCAUUACAACCCUCAAGCACGGCUUGUGUUAUGGGCCGUCGUCCCCUACUCGCUAGGUGGACGCGUCCGAAAUGCAGUGACGGUAGCCGCGACUCCGGUGCCCGAGUGAAUGGAGGAUAAUACCACCGCUCGUUUGGCCCGGCCGGCUCCGGUCGAAAUCAUUUAUUUCUUAGGUUGACCUCGGAUCAGGUAGGGAUACCCGCUGAACUUAAGCAUAUCAAUAAGCGGAGGAAAAGAAACCAACUGGGAUUGCCUCAGUAACGGCGAGUGAAGCGGCAAAAGCUCAAAUUUGAAAUCUGGCUCUCUAACGGGGGUCCGAGUUGUAAUUUGAAGAGGAUGCUUCGGGUGCGACCGCGGCGCAAGUCCCCUGGAACGGGGCGUCGCAGAGGGUGAGAAUCCCGUCUUGAGUCGCUGGUACGCGCCCGUGUGAAGCUCCUUCGACGAGUCGAGUUGUUUGGGAAUGCAGCUCUAAGCGGGUGGUAAAUUUCAUCUAAAGCUAAAUAUUGGCCGGAGACCGAUAGCGCACAAGUAGAGUGAUCGAAAGGUUAAAAGCACCUUGAAAAGGGAGUUAAAUAGCACGUGAAAUUGUUGAAAGGGAAGCGCUUGCGGCCAGACUCGGGUGCGGGGGUUCAGCGGCCAUUCGUGGUCGUGUACUCCCCCGCUGCUCGGGCCAGCAUCGGUUCGGGCGGUCGGUCAAAGGCCCCAGGAAUGUGUCACCUCUCGGGGUGUCUUAUAGCCUGGGGUGCAAUGCGGCCUGCCUGGACCGAGGAACGCGCUUCGGCUCGGAUGCUGGCAUAAUGGCCGUAAGCGGCCCGUCUUGAAACACGGACCAAGGAGUCUAACAUCCACGCGAGUGUUCGGGUGUCAAACCCGUGCGCGAAGUGAAAGCGAACGGAGGUGAGAGCCCGUAAGGGUGCAUCAUCGACCGAUCCUGAUGUCUUCGGAUGGAUUUGAGUAGGAGCGUGGCUGUUGGGACCCGAAAGAUGGUGAACUAUGCCUGAAUAGGGUGAAGCCAGAGGAAACUCUGGUGGAGGCUCGCAGCGGUUCUGACGUGCAAAUCGAUCGUCAAAUUUGGGUAUAGGGGCGAAAGACUAAUCGAACCAUCUAGUAGCUGGUUCCUGC
rnacentral:misc_RNA from 1 species